AAGACUAUAGACCUGCGGAGUACCUGCGGAAGGAUCAUUAUCGUAGGACCCUAAAAAAGUCCUGUCGAGAUAGCGUCCUUGCCUAUUUUUUUGGAGUACCUUUUCGUUUCCUCAGCAGGCUUGCCUGCUACUGGGGACCCUUUAAACUCUUUGUAAAUGCAGCAACUGUCUGAACAAACAAACAAAAAUCAAAACUUUCAACAAUGGAUCUCU
rnacentral:misc_RNA from 1 species